UGAGUACGAGACGCUAAGGCGUCGAAGUAGUGGAUGUCAUACUUCCAAGAAAAGCUUGCACUGUCAUAGAUAAAAAACGCCUGUACCAUAACCGACACAGGUGGGUAGGUAGAGUAUACUAAGGGGCGCGAGAUAACUCUCUCUAAGGAACUCGGCAAAAUAACUCCGUAACUUCGGGAGAAGGAGUGCCUUAUUCGUAAGGCUGCAAUAACAAGAUCCAAGCAACUGUUUAUCAAAAACACAGGUCUCCGCUAAGUCGUAAGACGAUGUAUGGGGGCUGACGCCUGCCCAGUGCCAGAAGGUUAAAGAAGUCGGUUAGCAUUAGCGAAGCUGGUAACUGAAGCCCUGGUGAACGGCGGCCGUAACAAUAACGGUCCUAAGGUAGCGAAAUUCCUUGUCGGGUAAGUUCCGACCCGCACGAAAGGCGUAAUGAUUUGGAUACUGUCUCGGAGAGGGGUUCGGUGAAAUAGACUUGUCUGUGAAGAUGCGGACUACCUGCACCAGGACAGAAAGACCCUAUGAAGCUUUACUGUAACUUGAAAUUGAAAUUGGACUUUAUUCGCGCAGUAUAGGUGGGAGGUGUUGAUUAUAAUCUUGCGGGAUUAUUGGAGCCAUCAGUGAGAUACCACUCUUGUAAUGUUAGAUUUCUAACUUUGAAUCAUUAUCUGGUCAAAGAACAGUUUCAGGCGGGCAGUUUGACUGGGGCGGUCGCCUCCUAAAUGGUAACGGAGGCGUACAAAGGUUUCCUCUGAACGGGUAGAAAUCGUAUCUAGAGUGUAAAGGCAUAAGGAAGCUUGACUGUGAGACCUACAAGUCGAGCAGGGACGAAAGUCGGUCUUAGUGAUCUGACGGUACUGAGUGGAAAGGCCGUCACUCAACGGACAAAAGUUACUCUAAGGAUAACAGGCUGAUCUCCCCCAAGAGUUCACAUCAACGGGGAGGUUUGGCACCUCGAUGUCGGCUCAUCGCAUCCUGGGGCGGUAGUACGUCCCAAGGGUUGGGCUGUUCGCCCAUGAAAGCGGUACGCGAGCUGGGUUCAGAACGUCGUGAGACAGUUCGGUCCAUAUCCGGUGUAGGCGUUAGAAUAUUGAGAGGAGCCUUCUUUAGUACGAGAGGACCGAGAAGGACAUACCUCUGGUGUACCAGUUAUCGUGCCAACGGUAAACGCUGGGUAGCUAUGUAUGGAGUGGAUAACCGCUGAAAGCAUCUAAGUGGGAAGCCCACCUCAAGAUAAGUAUUCUC
rnacentral:rRNA from 1 species